rnacentral:rRNA from 2 species
UGCUAUACUGCAGUCGAACGCACUCUCGUUUAGAUUGAAGGAGCUUGCUCCUGAUUGAUAAACAUUUGAGUGAGUGGCGGACGGGUGAGUAACACGUGGGUAACCUGCCCUAAAGUGGGGGAUAACAUUUGGAAACAGAUGCUAAUACCGCAUAAAACCUAACACCGCAUGGUGUAGGGUUGAAAGAUGGUUUCGGCUAUCACUUUAGGAUGGACCCGCGGUGCAUUAGUUAGUUGGUGAGGUAAAGGCUCACCAAGACCGUGAUGCAUAGCCGACCUGAGAGGGUAAUCGGCCACACUGGGACUGAGACACGGCCCAGACUCCUACGGGAGGCAGCAGUAGGGAAUCUUCCACAAUGGACGAAAGUCUGAUGGAGCAACGCCGCGUGAGUGAAGAAGGUUUUCGGAUCGUAAAACUCUGUUGUUGGAGAAGAAUGUAUCUGAUAGUAACUGAUCAGGUAGUGACGGUAUCCAACCAGAAAGCCACGGCUAACUACGUGCCAGCAGCCGCGGUAAUACGUAGGUGGCAAGCGUUGUCCGGAUUUAUUGGGCGUAAAGCGAGCGCAGGCGGUUUCUUAAGUCUGAUGUGAAAGCCUUCGGCUCAACCGAAGAAGUGCAUCGGAAACUGGGAAACUUGAGUGCAGAAGAGGACAGUGGAACUCCAUGUGUAGCGGUGAAAUGCGUAGAUAUAUGGAAGAACACCAGUGGCGAAGGCGGCUGUCUGGUCUGUAACUGACGCUGAGGCUCGAAAGCAUGGGUAGCAAACAGGAUUAGAUACCCUGGUAGUCCAUGCCGUAAACGAUGAGUGCUAGGUGUUGGAGGGUUUCCGCCCUUCAGUGCCGCAGCUAACGCAUUAAGCACUCCGCCUGGGGAGUACGACCGCAAGGUUGAAACUCAAAGGAAUUGACGGGGGCCCGCACAAGCGGUGGAGCAUGUGGUUUAAU